UGGGGAAUAUUGCACAAUGGGCGAAAGCCUGAUGCAGCAACGCCGCGUGAAGGAAGAAGGGUUUCGGCUCGUAAACUUCUAUCAACAGGGACGAAGGAAGUGACGGUACCUGAAUAAGAAGCCCCGGCUAACUACGUGCCAGCAGCUGCGGUAAUACGUAGGGGGCAAGCGUUAUCCGGAAUUACUGGGUGUAAAGGGUGAGUAGGCGGCAUGGUAAGCCAGAUGUGAAAGCCUUGGGCUUAACCCGAGGAUUGCAUUUGGAACUAUCAAGCUAGAGUACAGGAGAGGAAAGCGGAAUUCCUAGUGUAGCGGUGAAAUGCGUAGAUAUUAGGAGGAACACCGGCGGCGAAGGCGGCCUGCUGGACUGAAACUGACGUUGAGGCUCGAAAGCGUGGGGAGCAAACAGGAUUAGAUACC
rnacentral:rRNA from 1 species